rnacentral:rRNA from 1 species
UACGGGGGGGAGCAAGCGUUGUUCGGAUUUACUGGGCGUAAAGGGCGCGUAGGCGGCGCAACAAGUCACUUGUGAAAUCUCCGGGCUUAACUCGGAACGGUCAAGUGAUACUGUUGUGCUAGAGUGCGGAAGGGGCAACUGGAAUUCUCGGUGUAGCGGUGAAAUGCGUAGAUAUCGAGAGGAACACCUGCGGCGAAGGCGGGUUGCUGGGCCGACACUGACGCUGAUGCGCGAAAGCCAGGGGAGCGAACGGG